UGUGCAGGCAUGAUUUGGCUUAUAGGGUGCUCGCUUUCGGACAGCCCUGAUCAGGAAACUUUGGCCUCCCGCACUAUUUCGGAUAAGCUGACUUGCCGCACGCUUGGGACCCUAACCACCCAAAAAAAAACUAACAAAGGCGAAAAAAGCUACUACUGCUACUUUUUUUUAUUAUAAUUAUUUGGUACUAUCAUUUUGGUUGGUUAUUUUCAUUUUUAUUUUUCAUUAUCUGACAUGAAUAGUUUUAUACUCCGUAGUAGAGUUGUAUUAGUUUCAUUAUCAGUCUUUCCUUUGUCUUUUUUAUUCUUCUAGAUGCAAGGGACGUUGUUUGUCAUGAGUCUUAGACUCUUUAGUUUGGUUGGUUUUUAGUCUCGGUCUUGUUUUUCAGUUAUUUUAUAAAAUUCGUUUUGAGUUGAGUCUGAAGAUCAGUACGUCCAACAGUGGUCAAACCUGCACGUACGCUCGCAGGAACCGGUGCUGCGGUGCAUGCGGGGAUCGAGCGAAGGAUCAAAGGCACUGGCGUGGCGGAUUAGAAUGCUUGGUUUGCCGCGCAACACACGGACACUAUGAAAAGUAGUACUCCCUUGUCCGGAAAUUAGUGACGUGGAUUUAUAUAAAAAUCUAUACAAAAGUUUCGGGUGUCAUUGAAAUGACAAAAGUUUUGGAAAUUUUGGUUUUUUUUGAAUUAUUAAUAAUUAUGUAAAUUGAUCUGAAUUUUUCAGGUACAUAUUUCAAACCAAGAUCACCA
rnacentral:lncRNA from 1 species